rnacentral:rRNA from 1 species
UACCUGGUUGAUCCUGCCAGUAAUCAUAUGCUUGUCUCAAAGAUUAAGCCAUGCAUGUCUAAGUACAUGCCGAAAUAAGGCGAAACCGCGAAUGGCUCAUUAAAUCAGUUAUGGUUCCUUAGAUCGUUUCUUCCUACUUGGAUAACUGUGGCAAUUCUAGAGCUAAUACAUGCAGUGAGCCUGAAGCCCUUUGGGCGACGGGUGCUUUUAUUAGACCAAGAUCGAUCGGGUUUCGGCCCGUAUUGUGUGGUGACUCUGGAUAACUUUGUGCUGAUCGCAUGGCCACGAGCCGGCGACGUUUCUUUCAAGUGUCUGCCUUAUCAACUUUCGAUGGUAGGUUACUUGCUUACCAUGGUUGUUACGGGUAACGGAGAAUCAGGGUUCGAUUCCGGAGAGGGAGCCUGAGAAACGGCUACCACAUCCAAGGAAGGCAGCAGGCGCGCAAAUUACCCACUCCCGGCACGGGGAGGUAGUGACGAAAAAUAACAAUACGGGACUCUUUUGAGGCCCCGUAAUUGAAAUGAGUACACUCUAAAUCCUUUAACGAGGAUCAAUUGGAGGGCAAGUCUGGUGCCAGCAGCCGCGGUAAUUCCAGCUCCAAUAGCGUAUACUAAAGCUGCUGCGGUUAAAAAGCUCGUAGUUGGAUCUCAGUUCCAGACGAGUAGUGCAUCUACCCGAUGCGACGGCUCGGACUGAACAUCAUGCCGGUCCUUUCUUGGUGCACUUCAUUGUGUGCCUCGAGAAGGCCGGUGCUUUUACUUUGAAAAAAUUAGAGUGCUCAACGCAGGCGAGUCGCCUGAAUAAACUUGCAUGGAAUAAUAGAACAAGACCUCGUUUCUGUUCUGUUGGUUUUUGGAAUACGAGGUAAUGAUUAAGAGGGACAGACGGGGGCAUUCGUAUUGCGGCGCUAGAGGUGAAAUUCUUGGACCGUCGCAAGACGAACUACUGCGAAAGCAUUUGCCAAGAAUGUUUUCUUUGAUCAAGAACGAAAGUCAGAGGUUCGAAGGCGAUCAGAUACCGCCCUAGUUCUGACCAUAAACGAUGCCAACCAGCGAUCCGCCUGAGUUACUCAAAUGACUCGGCGGGCAGCUUCCGGGAAACCAAAGUGUUUGGGUUCCGGGGGAAGUAUGGUUGCAAAGCUGAAACUUAAAGGAAUUGACGGAAGGGCACCACCAGGAGUGGAGCCUGCGGCUUAAUUUGACUCAACACGGGAAAACUUACCCGGCCCGGACACUGGGAGGAUUGACAGAUUGAGAGCUCUUUCUUGAUUCGGUGGAUGGUGGUGCAUGGCCGUUCUUAGUUGGUGGAGCGAUUUGUCUGGUUAAUUCCGAUAACGAACGAGACUCUAGCCUAUUAAAUAGGUGCGGGGUUCCCAGCACCUUACAACCUUCUUAGAGGGACAAGCGGCUCCUAGCCGCACGAAACAGAGCAAUAACAGGUCUGUGAUGCCCUUAGAUGUCCGGGGCCGCACGCGCGCUACACUGAAGGAAGCAGCGUGUCUUUAUCCCUGUCUGAAAGGACUGGGUAACCCGUGGAACUUCUUUCGUGAUUGGGAUAGGGGCUUGCAAUUGUUCCCCUUGAACGAGGAAUUCCCAGUAAGCGCGAGUCAUAAGCUCGCGUUGAUUACGUCCCUGCCCUUUGUACACACCGCCCGUCGCUACUACCGAUUGAAUGAUUUAGUGAGGUCUUCGGACCGAUGUCCGGCGCGGCCUUUCGGUUGCGCCGGUCUGUUGGAAAGAU